UACGUAGGGUGCAAGCGUUAAUCGGAAUUACUGGGCGUAAAGCGUGCGCAGGCGGUUGUGCAAGUCAGAUGUGAAAUCCCCGGGCUUAACCUGGGAACUGCAUUUGUGACUGCACGGCUAGAGUGUGUCAGAGGGGGGUAGAAUUCCACGUGUAGCAGUGAAAUGCGUAGAUAUGUGGAGGAACACCGAUGGCGAAGGCAGCCCCCUGGGAUAACACUGACGCUCAUGCACGAAAGCGUGGGGAGCAAACAGG
rnacentral:rRNA from 1 species